AGGGUUCGAUUCUGGCUCAGGAUGAACGCUAGCGACAGGCUUAACACAUGCAAGUCGAGGGGCAGCAUAGAAGUAGCAAUACUUGGUGGCGACCGGCGCACGGGUGAGUAACGCGUAUGCAACCUACCUAUCGAGAGGGGAAUAACCCGGCGAAAGUCGGACUAAUACCGCAUAAAACAGGGGCACCGCAUGGUGAUAUUUGUUAAAGAAAUUCGCUGAUAGAUGGGCAUGCGUUCCAUUAGGUAGUUGGUGAGGUAACGGCUCACCAAGCCGACGAUGGAUAGGGGAACUGAGAGGUUGGUCCCCCACACUGGUACUGAGACACGGACCAGACUCCUACGGGAGGCAGCAGUGAGGAAUAUUGGUCAAUGGGCGGGAGCCUGAACCAGCCAAGUCGCGUGAAGGAAAGAAGGAUCUAUGGUUCGUAAACUUCUUUUGCAGGGGAAUAAAGUGCAGGACGUGUCCUGUUUUGUAUGUACCCUGAGAAUAAGGAUCGGCUAACUCCGUGCCAGCAGCAGC
rnacentral:rRNA from 1 species